AAGCAGAUGAUGAAUGAAAUGAAUUACUUAUUGGUUAUUCCAUGAAGAUUACAAAUCGAGCUUUUUAAAACUGAUGCUCA